rfam:Hordeum vulgare subsp. vulgare, WGS project CAJW01000000 data, contig: morex_contig_144527
UUUAUACUCCUUCCGUCCCAAAAUUCUUAUCUUAUAUUUAUUUAGAUAUGAAUGUAUCUAGUCANNNNUUAGUAUUUAGAUACAUCAAUUUUUAAACAAAGUUAAGACAAGAAUUUUAGGACGGAGGGAGUAUGUG